rnacentral:rRNA from 1 species
GACGAACGCUGGCGGCGUGCCUAAUACAUGCAAGUCGAGCGCAGGAAACCGUCUGAACCCUUCGGGGGGACGACGAUGGAAUGAGCGGCGGACGGGUGAGUAACACGUAAAGAACCUGCCCACGGGUCUGGGAUAACCACGAGAAAUCGGGGCUAAUACCGGACGGGUCAUCGGACCGCAUGGUCCGAGGAUGAAAGGCGCUCCGGCGUCGCCCGUGGAUGGCUUUGCGGUGGAUUAGCUAGUUGGUGGGGUAACGGCCCACCAAGGCGACGAUGCAUAGCCGACCUGAGAGGGUGAUCGGCCACACUGGGACUGAGACACGGCCCAGACUCCUACGGGAGGCAGCAGUAGGGAAUCUUCCACAAUGGACGAAAGUCUGAUGGAGCAACGCCGCGUGAACGAUGAAGGCCCUCGGGUCGUAAAGUUCUGUUGUAAGGGAAGAACAAGUGCCGCAGGCAAUGGCGGCACCUUGACGGUACCUUGCGAGAAAGCCACGGCUAACUACGUGCCAGCCGCCGCGGUAA